AGAGAGAGCUUGCUUUCUCAAGCGAGUGGCGAACGGGUGAGUAACGCGUGAGGAACCUGCCUCAAAGAGGGGGACAACAGUUGGAAACGACUGCUAAUACCGCAUAAGCGCACAGUUCCGCAUGGAACAGUGUGAAAAACUCCGGUGGUAUAAGAUGGACCCGCGUCUGAUUAGCUUGUUGGUGAGGUAACGGCCCACCAAGUCGACGAUCAGUAGCCGGACUGAGAGGUUGAACGGCCACAUUGGGACUGAGAUACGGCCCAGACUCC
rnacentral:rRNA from 1 species